rnacentral:rRNA from 1 species
UACGAAGGGUGCAAACGUUGCUCGGAAUUAUUGGGCGUAAAGCGCACGUAGGCGGCUUUGCAAGUCGGAUGUGAAAGCCCUCGGCUCAACCAAGGAAGUGCAUCCGAAACUGCAGAGCUUGAGUACUUAAGAGGAUCGCGGAAUUCCCGGUGUAGAGGUGAAAUUCGUAGAUAUCGGGAGGAGCACCAGUGGCGAAGGCGGCGAUCUGGGAAGAUACUGACGCUGAGGUGCGAAAGCGUGGGGAGCAAACAGG